GGGAGACUGUGAAACGGCGACGCCAGUUGUCGUGGAGUCAACGUUGAAAUACCACUCUGGUCGUACUAGAUAUCUAACCUAGGUCCAUUAUCUGGAUCAGGGACAGUGCCUGAUGGGUAGUUUAACUGGGGCGGUUGCCUCCUAAAAUGUAACGGAGGCGCUCAAAGGUUCCCUCAGCCUGGUUGGCAAUCAGGUUUCGAGUGUAAGUGCACAAGGGAGCUUGACUGUGAGAGUGACAACUCGAGCAGGGACGAAAGUCGGAACUAGUGAUCCGGCGCUGGCAUGUGGAAGCGGCGUCGCUCAACGGAUAAAAGGUACCCCGGGGAUAACAGGCUGAUCUUCCCCAAGAGUCCAUAUCGACGGGAUGGUUUGGCACCUCGAUGUCGGCUCGUCGCAUCCUGGGGCUGGAGUAGGUCCCAAGGGUUGGGCUGUUCGCCCAUUAAAGCGGCACGCGAGCUGGGUUUAGAACGUCGUGAGACAGUUCGGUCCCUAUCCGCCGCGCGCGCAGGAAACUUGAGAAAGGCUGUCCCUAGUACGAGAGGACCGGGAUGGACGAACCUCUGGUGUGCCAGUUGUUCCGCCAGGAGCACGGCUGGUUAGCUACGUUCGGAAGUGAUAACCGCUGAAUGCAUCUAAGCGGGAAGCACGUUUCAAGAUGAGGUUUCCCACCGGGUUAACCGGGUAAGGUCCCCAGUAGACUACUGGGUUGAUAGGCCGGAGGUGUACAGCAGCAAUGCCUAGCCGACCGGUACUAAUAGACCGAGGGCUUGUCCCUCAA
rnacentral:rRNA from 1 species